rnacentral:misc_RNA from 1 species
UUUCCGUAGGUGAACCUGCGGAAGGAUCAUUAUUGAAAACAAACGGGACGCGCUCGUCGCCCCUGCGCCGGUGGAGACGCCGUGACGCGGGGUGGCGGCGCGCACCCAUCCAUCCCAACCCCUGUGCACACUUGCGGGAGGGCCGGGUUCGCGCCCGGCCGUCUCGGAUCUUCACGAACACAACCAAAGAGAAACACACGGGCGGCUCCGUCUGCCUCGAUGAACAUGACAACUUUCAACAACGGAUCUCUUGGCUCUCGCAUCGAUGAAGAACGCAGC